ensembl:lncRNA
CAGUGCUCUCUGCUGGUCAUUGCUGAAAUUACAACAUGUAUUUGUUCUGUAUUCGAGUUUAAAAUGACCUCUAGUGGACAAAAUGUGAUAAUUAGCGGUGUUGUUUAAUGGUAAUCAGUGGUGUUUGAUGGAAAACGGUUGAUGGUGAUGAUAAUGAACAUUAGGGUUUAAUGGUAAUCAGUGGUGUUUGAUGGAAAACGGUUGAUGGUGAUGAUAAUUAACGUUAGUGUUUAAUGGUAAUCAGUGGUGUUUGAUGGAAAACGGUUGAUGGCGAUGAUAAACGUUAGUGUUUAAUGGUAAUCAGUGGUGUUUGAUGGAAAACGGUUGAUGGCGAUGAUAAACGUUAGUGUUUAAUGGUAAUCAGUGGUGUUUGAUGGAAAACGGUUGAUGGCGAUGAUAAUUAACGUUAGUGUUUAAUGGUAAUCAGUGGUGUUUGAUGGAAAACGGUUGAUGUUGAUGAUAAACGUUAGUGUUUAAUGGUAAUCAGUGGUGUUUGAUGGAAAACGGUUGAUUGAGAUGAUAAUUAACGUUAGUGUUUAAUGGUAAUCAGUGGUGUUUGAUGGAAAACGGUUGAUGGCGAUGAUAAUUAACGUUAGUGUUUAAUGGUAAUCAGUGGUGUUUGAUGGAAAACGGUUGAUGAUGAUAAUUAACGUUAGUGUUUAAUGGGGAUCAGUGGUGUUUGAUGGAAAACGGUUGAUGUUGAUGAUAAACGUUAGUGUUU